CUGUUUUGAGAAUGUGAUUCAACCUCUCUGAGUCUUAGUUUCCUCAUCUCUGAAGGAUGUAGGGGGAUGGCACAAAUAUCUACUCACAGCUUCAUGUAGGAACCAAGCAAGAUAAUACAACCACCUCCAAACCCUCUGAGCCCAUGUUGAGGCGAGUGUGCAAAAAUAAGCAAUGCCCCUUAAAUAGGAGAACAGAUGGAUAAAUUACUGUGUUUUCAUUCAACAGACCACGCAGCAGUAGAGAGAGUGAUGUCUAGCAGUUAGGAGAACAGCUUCCAAGCUAUGUGACUUGGGUACAUAAUUUCACCUUUCUAUGCCUUUGUUUUCAAAUCUAUAAAGUGGGGAUGAAAAUAAUUCUGUCGUGAACAUGAAGUGAGUUGAGGCAGGCAAGGCGCUUGCAACUAUGCCUGGUGCAGAAUAAAAGUUCAACAAACAGGGGCGCCUGGGUGGCUGCAGUCUAGACCUGCAAAGGGCUCAGGUCACAAUCCCAGUGUUCUGAGGUGGAGCCCUGCAUUGGCUUCCCCGCCCAUGGCAAGUGGCGGUGCCCGAGGAAGUGAACUUAAUUUUGCUCCUUCACAAAGACCGGCCCGGCCCGGGCGGUGCGUCUCACGCGAGGAGGCUGCGGCCCCCGACACCUCCCGGCCCGCAGCCCGGUGCGCGCGAGGCGGCACCUCCGGCCCGAGGCGAUCCUCAUUUCAACAGAAAAACACCGCCCCGAGUGUCUUAUUGCUGUGAUGAAAUGGAAAUUUAAAUAAAAGGUCGAACACGUGCGUUCGCUGGGAAGUAUUGACAUGGGUGUUACAUCCCCCCCAGCCAAUCAGAUCCCCGCAGUGGUGUUUAUACUUUCUACACCCCCCUUGCACUUUGCAAAUAAAUGCAUUAUUUAUUGUAUUUUAACCACUGCUGCCUCCCCCAUGAAAAGAAUUAUUGAAGUUAAUUGUUUACCUAGGAUUAAGGUAAUGGUAAGUGAAAGUGGACUUAAGAAUUUUUAUUUCAACUUUACAAAUUGUUUUCACUCCCAAACUAUUAAAUUCAUAGCUUUGCUUCUUUUCAUUUAUAUGUCUGGUACGCAAUAG
rnacentral:lncRNA from 12 species